rnacentral:rRNA from 1 species
AUUGAACGCUGGCGGCAUGCCUUACACAUGCAAGUCGAACGGUAACGCGGGGGCGAACCCUCGGCGACGAGUGGCGAACGGGUGAGUAAUACAUCGGAACGUACCCAGUAGUGGGGGAGUANCUCGGCGAAAGACCGGNUUAAUACCGCAUACGACCUAUGGGUGGAAAGACGGGGGNGUCNCAAGACCUCGCGCUAUUGGAGCGGCCGAUGUCGGAUUAGCUAGUUGGUGAGGUAAAGGCNCACCAAGGCUACGAUCCGUAGCUGGUCUGAGAGGACGACCAGCCACACUGGGACUGAGACACGGCCCANACUCCUACGGGAGGCANCAGUGGGGGAAUUUUGGACAAUGGGCGAAAGCCUGAUCCAGCCAUGCCGCGUGUGUGAAGAAGGCC